rnacentral:tRNA from 3 species
GGCCCAUUAGCUCAGUUGGUAGAGCACUUGAUUUUUAAUCAAGGUGUCCCGAGUUCGAGACUCGGAUGGACCACCA